GGGCCCGCACAAGCGGUGGAGCAUGUGGUUUAAUUCGAUGAUACGCGAGGAACCUUACCAGGGCUUAAAUGUAGUCUGACAGGGGGAUGGCAAACACCCCUCCUUCGGGCAGAUUACAAGGUGCUGCAUGGUUGUCGUCAGCUCGUGCCGUGAGGUGUCAGGUUAAGUCCUAUAACGAGCGCAACCCCCUGCCGUUAGUUGCCAGCAUGUAAUGAUGGGAACUCUAACGGGACUGCCGGUGCAAACCGCGAGGAAAGGUGGGGAUGACGUCAAAUCAUCACGGCCCUUACGUCCUGGGCUAACACACGUGCUACAAUGGCCGGUACAGAGGGCAGCCACACGCAAGGUGGAGCGAAUCCUUAAAACCGGUCUC
rnacentral:rRNA from 1 species